rfam:Phytophthora sojae unplaced genomic scaffold PHYSOscaffold_3, whole genome shotgun sequence.
AACGAUGUAGCUCAACUGGAAGAGCGCAGGGCUUCGGCCCUGAGGAUGCCUGUUCAACUCGGGCCAUCGUUA